rnacentral:rRNA from 1 species
UACGAAGGGGGCUAGCGUUGUUCGGAAUUACUGGGCGUAAAGCGCACGUAGGCGGAAUGUUUAGUCAGGGGUGAAAUCCCGGGGCUCAACCCCGGAACUGCCUUUGAUACUGGCAUUCUCGAGUCCGGAAGAGGUGAGUGGAAUUCCGAGUGUAGAGGUGAAAUUCGUAGAUAUUCGGAGGAACACCAGUGGCGAAGGCGGCUCACUGGUCCGGUACUGACGCUGAGGUGCGAAAGCGUGGGGAGCAAACGGG